rnacentral:piRNA from 1 species
GUCGGAUCUCUGUGAGUUUGAGGC